rnacentral:lncRNA from 1 species
CGAUUCUUCGGCGCAUCGUCCUUUCCUGCAGCCUAUUGCCCAAUCGGCCAGUUGACUCCGCAACUCCGAUAUCCUUGGCACAAUACCUGCUCUUCUUGGCCCGAUGCCCGAGUCCACGGCCCGAAGCCUUCUGUCGAUACGUCGACCGAUCCACCAGCCCGACGUCCAAUCUUCUGACAUGUUCCUCUGGCACAACAUGAUUUUCCUGCUUUAAUUGUCUCAUCCUGAUUGAAGCAUC